rnacentral:lncRNA from 1 species
UUAUACAAGAAUCAUUUUUCAUUUUUUUUUUAAAAACAUGUCUUGUUUCAUAACAAAACAGUUCCAUUGAAUAGAAAGGAUUCUAUUGCUCUAUAAUUUUGUUUUAUAUACCGGUAAAUUUAAUUAAGAAAAAAAGUUACAAUCAAUGUUGAUUUUGUUCAUGCUAAAUUUACUUUUCAAAGCACUUGAAGCUUUAAGUGUUUAAGUGCCAGUCUUUGUGAGGAUCAGUCAAUUCAAAUAAAAAUUUAAACAUUGUUAAGAAAAUAACCUGAAAUAAGGUUUGAUAUUAAAUACAGAGUUAUCUCCCCUUAAAUGUUAAUUUAUAGUGGUGGUACAUUUUAACGAAAUUGCAUCUUCUAUUACCAGAACAGGAAAUGGAAAAGAGAGUUAUUUUCAUGCAUUACUACCUAUAUCACUUAUAUAUAUAUAUAUAUAUAUAUAGCUAUUAUAAACUUAAACUAAUGUAAACGUCAGUGGGUUUUUGUUUGUCAUGUCUUCACCACUGCCUGAGACAUACUGGCACUUUUAUAUAUUUUUUUUUGUAUUUAUUUAUUAAUUGUAUAUGAAUUUUAAGGUAGUAGAAUGCUAAGUGGAAUGAGGAUACAUGUUAGACACAUUUGACACAUUCCCCAUUUCCAUUCUCUAUUUUAAAGAUAAAAGGGGAAAUUUUCAAAGGGAAAUAACUCAAUUUUGUUUUUUAUUUUAAGAUAUUUAUGCUACAAAAUUGAUACUGAUUUAAAUGGGUAAAAAAUAAAUCCCCUGAAACUACGAAAAGAUUUAAAGGUGUCUUGUAUUCCAAUUGUUUGUUCAGUAAACAUGUACUUCCAUAUAAAUUUGCAUGUAAAAUCAAGAAAUUUUUUAAAUAUUUUAAAUAUUUGGCAAAAAUUGUAGAAUCUAGAGGUCUUUUUAGAACUCUUUGUCUCAUUCAUAGAUCUGGAGUGCAUUCUGCAGAUUUCAAAAUGCAAAAGUCAACUUCAUUCUAAAAUUAAUUGCAUGAUUGUAUAGGAUAAAAACCAAAUUGCUCUAUAUUUGAUAUUUGCUAGUCAUGGUUUGUUGAAUUUAACUAGUCUUGUUGAUGAUAAGAGUAUUUAAGAAUUGUUUAUGUUAGUGUUGGUAAAGACUACCUAGUCCAGAAAACAACUUUGGGAAAGGACAGUACUUCCUGAAAUAAUAUAAUAUGAUUUUAACAAAAAAUAGUAAAGAAAUACAGUGGUUUAAUAGUAUUAUUGCUAAAUAUAUACAUUUAAUACAGAUAAUCUAUUUCCCACUGUGCUGGGCAAUACUAAAAAAAAUGAGUUUUUGUCAAUCUUAUGAUCUUAUGUUCUUUCUGGUUAUUUAAGGUGGUACGUAACACAACAGGGAGAUAACUCUGUAAAAUCACCUAAAUGUUUUAAUCACAUUGUAUUGUUAAGAAAGUAUUAAGCUCCUCAAUGAUCAAAAUUAGUGUUUGUCAAACUGCUAUAUAUCCAUGAAAUUUUUCCAAGAAAGUGUGUGGUUCAAGUUUUUUGAAAUUUUUAUAUUUUUGUCAAAGGGUCAAAG